rnacentral:sRNA from 1 species
GCAGGUGAAUACAACGUUGAGCGAUAAACGUUGUGCUCCAUAAUUGUAGUUUUUUCACAUUAAGUUUGAUACCCAUCGGGUUUAUACAGAAUGAUUGAUUAUUGCCGAUGCCAGUUUAAGUAUCGGCUAUU